GACGAACGCUGGCGGCGUGCCUAAUACAUGCAAGUCGAACGAGAGCGACCGGUGCUUGCACUGGUCAAUCUAGUGGCGAACGGGUGAGUAACACGUGGGUAACCUGCCCAUCAGAGGGGGAUAACAUCCGGAAACGGAUGCUAAAACCGCAUAGGUCUUCGAACCGCAUGGUUUGAAGAGGAAAAGAGGCGCAAGCUUCUGCUGAUGGAUGGACCCGCGGUGCAUUAGCUAGUUGGUGAGGGAACGGCUCACCAAGGCCGUGAUGCAUAGCCGACCUGAGAGGGUGAUCGGCCACAUUGGGACUGAGACACGGCCCAAACUCCUACGGGAGGCAGCAGUAGGGAAUCUUCCGCAAUGGACGCAAGUCUGACGGAGCAACGCCGCGUGAGUGAAGAAGGUUUUCGGAUCGUAAAACUCUGUUGUUAGAGAAGAACAAGUGCUAGAGUAACUGUUAGCGCCUUGACGGUAUCUAACCAGAAAGCCACGGCUAACUACGUG
rnacentral:rRNA from 1 species